UAGGGAAUAUUGCACAAUGGGGGAAACCCUGAUGCAGCCAUGCCGCGUGUGUGAAGAAGGCCUUCGGGUUGUAAAGCACUUUCAGUGGGGAGGAAACAAUGACGUUACCCACAGAAGAAGCACCGGCUAACUCCGUGCCAGCAGCCGCGGUAAUACGGAGGGUGCAAGCGUUAAUCGGAAUAACUGGGCGUAAAGGGCAUGUAGGCGGAACGGUAAGUAGGAUGUGAAAUACCCGGGCUCAACCUGGGUUGGUCAUUCUAAACUGCCGUUCUAGAGUAUUGCAGAGGGAGAUGGAAUUUCAGGUGUAGCGGUGGAAUGCGUAGAUAUCUGAAAGAACACCAGAGGCGAAGGCGGUCUCCUGGGCAAAUACUGACGCUGAGGUGCGAAAGCGUGGGGAGCAAACA
rnacentral:rRNA from 1 species